UACGUAGGGUGCAAGCGUUAAUCGGAAUUACUGGGCGUAAAGCGUGCGCAGGCGGUUUUGUAAGUCUGUUGUGAAAUCCCCGGGCUCAACCUGGGAAUGGCAAUGGAGACUGCAAGGCUAGAGUUUGGCAGAGGGGGGGUAGAAUUCCACGUGUAGCAGUGAAAUGCGUAGAUAUGUGGAGGAACACCGAUGGCGAAGGCAGCCCCCUGGGUCAAGACUGACGCUCAUGCACGAAAGCGUGGGGAGCAAACAGG
rnacentral:rRNA from 1 species